rnacentral:misc_RNA from 1 species
GAUGAAGAACGUAGCGAAAUGCGAUAAUUAAUGUGAAUUGCAGAAUUUAGUGAAUCAUCGAAUCUUUGAACGCACAUUGCGCCCCUUGGUAUUCCGAGGGGCAUGCCUGUUCGAGCGUCAUUAUAACCCCUCAAGCUCAGCUUGGUGUUGGGGCCUGCUGCACUGGCAGCCCUUAAAAUCAGUGGCGGCGCCAUCUGGCUCUAAGCGUAGUAAUUCUUCUCGCUAUGGAGUCCUGGUGGAUGCUUGCCAUCAACCCCCAAUUUUUCUAUGGUUGACCUCGGAUCAGGUAGGGAUACCCGCUGAACUUAAGCAUAUCAAUAAGCGAAGGA